rnacentral:tRNA from 1 species
CACUAAGAAGCUAUACAGCAUUAACCUUUUAAGUUAAAAAUUGAGAGUACCCCCAACCUCUCCUUAGUGA